UUGGGAGUGCAGCCUGAAGCGGGUGGUAAAUUCCAUCUAAAGCUAAAUACUGGCCAGAGACCGAUAGCGAACAAGUACCGUGAGGGAAAGAUGCAAAGAACUUUGAAAAGAGAGUUAAAGAGUGCUUGAAAUUGGCAGGAUGAAACCCGGUUGCGAGUGGCAUCGCGCUUCUUCGAUUCAGCCGGCCGAGGGCCAUGAAGCGGAUCUUACGACCGUGUUGGCGAAUCGGUCGGUGCACUUCGAAGGGGUGGGCCAAUUGCGUCUAGGCUUGAGGGAGAACGUUUCGAAUAGGGCUUCGGCGUAAUUCGUCUUGCGACCUCGGGCUUGGAUCCGAUUGGUGCGUAUGGUCGCAACCGACCCGUCUAGAAACACGGACCAAGGAGUCUGACGCGUGUGCGAGUACUCGGGUGGCAAGCCCUGGUGCGCAAUGAAAGUGAAGGGCGUGCCCCGUCAACCGACCUUGAUCUUCUGUGAAGGGUUUGAGUGGAGCAUAUCUGUCGGGACCCGAAAGAUGGUGAACUAUGCCUGAGGAGGGUGAAGCCAGAGGAAACUCUGGUGGAGGCUCGUAGCGAUACUGACGUGCAAAUCGUUCGUCGAACUUGGGUAUAGGGGCGAAAGACUAAUCGAACCAUCUAGUAGCUGGUUCCCUCCGAAGUUUCCCUCAGGAUAGCUUGAACGCCGACGGUUUUGUCAGGUAAAGCGAAUGAUUAGAGGCCUUGGGGCUGAAACAGCCUUAACCUAUUCUCAAACUUUAAAUGGGCAAGAGGCCCGGGAUGCUUGACUGAUCCCGGG
rnacentral:rRNA from 1 species